rnacentral:rRNA from 1 species
UACAGAGGUCCCAAGCGUUGUUCGGAUUCACUGGGCGUAAAGGGUGCGUAGGUGGCGCUGUAAGUCGGGUGUGAAAUCCUGAGGCUUAACCUCGGAACUGCAUUCGAUACUGCGGUGCUUGAGGACUGGAGAGGAGACUGGAAUUCAUGGUGUAGCAGUGAAAUGCGUAGAGAUCAUGAGGAAGACCAGUGGCGAAGGCGGGUCUCUGGACAGUUCCUGACACUGAGACACGAAGGCCAGGGGAGCAAAACGGG